rnacentral:rRNA from 1 species
GGGCCCGCACAAGCGGCGGAGCAUGCGGAUUAAUUAGAUGCAACGCGAAGAACCUUACCAAGGCUUGACAUGGGCCGGACCGGGCUGGAAACAGUCCUUCCCCUUUGGGGCCGGUUCACAGGUGGUGCA